ACGCACGCUGGCGGCGUGCUUCACACCUGCAAGUCGAACGGAAAGGCCUCUUUCGGGGGGUACUCGAGUGGCGAACGGGUGAGUAACACGUGAGUAACCUGCCCUUGACUUUGGGAUAACUUCAGGAAACUGGGGCUAAUACCGGAUAGGAGCUCCUGCUGCAUGGUGGGGGUUGGAAAGUUUCGGCGGUUGGGGAUGGACUCGCGGCUUAUCAGCUUGUUGGUGGGGUAGUGGCUUACCAAGGCUUUGACGGGUAGCCGGCCUGAGAGGGUGACCGGCCACAUUGGGACUGAGAUACGGCCCAGACUCCUACGGGAGGCAGCAGUGGGGAAUAUUGCACAAUGGGUGGAAGCCUGAUGCAGCAACGCCGUGUGCGGGAUGACGGCCUUCGGGUUGUAAACCGCUUUCGCUCAUGACGAAGCUUUGUGUGACGGUAGUGGGUAAAGAAGCACCGGCUAACUACGUG
rnacentral:rRNA from 1 species